GAUUAAGUUAUUAAGGGCGCACGGUGGAUGCCUUGGCACUAGAAGCCGAAGAAGGACGUUACUAACGACGAUAUGCUUUGGGUAGCUGUAAGUAAGCGUUGAUCCAGAGAUUUCCGAAUGGGGGAACCCAACAUGAGUUAUGUCAUGUUAUCGACAUGUGAAUUCAUAGCAUGUCAGAAGGCAGACCCGGAGAACUGAAACAUCUUAGUACCCGGAGGAAGAGAAAGAAAAAUCGAUUCCCUGAGUAGCGGCGAGCGAAACGGGAAGAGCCCAAACCAACAAGCUUGCUUGUUGGGGUUGUAGGACACUCUAUACGGAGUUACAAAAGAACAUGUUAGACGAAUCAUCUGGAAAGAUGAAUCAAAGAAGGUAAUAAUCCUGUAGUCGAAAACAUAUUCUCUCUUGAGUGGAUCCUGAGUACGACGGAGCACGUGAAAUUCCGUCGGAAUCUAGGAGGACCAUCUCCUAAGGCUAAAUACUCUCUAGUGACCGAUAGUGAACCAGUACCGUGAGGGAAAGGUGAAAAGUACCCCGGAAGGGGAGUGAAAGAGAACUUGAAACCGUGUGCUUACAAGUAGUCAGAGCCCGUUUAUGGGUGAUGGCGUGCCUUUUGUAGAAUGAACCGGCGAGUUACGAUCUGAUGCAAGGUUAAGCAGCGAAUGUGGAGCCGUAGCGAAAGCGAGUCUGAAUAGGGCGUUGAGUAUUUGGUCGUAGACCCGAAACCAGGUGAUCUACCCUUGGUCAGGUUGAAGUUCAGGUAACACUGAAUGGAGGACCGAACCGACUUACGUUGAAAAGUGAGCGGAUGAACUGAGGGUAGCGGAGAAAUUCCAAUCGAACUUGGAGAUAGCUGGUUCUCUCCGAAAUAGCUUUAGGGCUAGCCUCAAGUGAUGAUUAUUGGAGGUAGAGCACUGUUUGGACGAGGGGCCCCUCUCGGGUUACCGAAUUCAGACAAACUCCGAAUGCCAAUCAAUUUAACUUGGGAGUCAGAACAUGGGUGAUAAGGUCCGUGUUCGAAAGGGAAACAGCCCAGACCACCAGCUAAGGUCCCAAAAUAUAUGUUAAGUGGAAAAGGAUGUGGCGUUGCCCAGACAACUAGGAUGUUGGCUUAGAAGCAGCCAUCAUUUAAAGAGUGCGUAAUAGCUCACUAGUCGAGUGACACUGCGCCGAAAAUGUACCGGGGCUAAACAUAUUACCGAAGCUGUGGAUUGUCCUUCGGACAAUGGUAGGAGAGCGUUCUAAGGGCGUUGAAGCAUGAUCGCAAGGACAUGUGGAGCGCUUAGAAGUGAGAAUGCCGGUGUGAGUAGCGAAAGACGGGUGAGAAUCCCGUCCACCGAUUGACUAAGGUUUCCAGAGGAAGGCUCGUCCGCUCUGGGUUAGUCGGGUCCUAAGCUGAGGCCGACAGGCGUAGGCGAUGGAUAACAGGUUGAUAUUCCUGUACCACCUAGUAUCGUUUUAAUCGAUGGGGGGACGCAGUAGGAUAGGCGAAGCGUGCUGUUGGAGUGCACGUCCAAGCAGUAAGGCUGAGUGUUAGGCAAAUCCGGCACUCGUUAGGCUGAGCUGUGAUGGGGAGAGGAAAUUGUUUCCUCGAGUCGUUGAUUUCACACUGCCGAGAAAAGCCUCUAGAUAGAUAACAGGUGCCCGUACCGCAAACCGACACAGGUAGUCAAGAUGAGAAUUCUAAGGUGAGCGAGCGAACUCUCGUUAAGGAACUCGGCAAAAUGACCCCGUAACUUCGGGAGAAGGGGUGCUCUUUAGGGUUCACGCCCAGAAGAGCCGCAGUGAAUAGGCCCAAGCGACUGUUUAUCAAAAACACAGGUCUCUGCUAAACCGUAAGGUGAUGUAUAGGGGCUGACGCCUGCCCGGUGCUGGAAGGUUAAGAGGAGUGGUUAGCUUCUGCGAAGCCACGAAUCGAAGCCCCAGUAAACGGCGGCCGUAACUAUAACGGUCCUAAGGUAGCGAAAUUCCUUGUCGGGUAAGUUCCGACCCGCACGAAAGGCGUAACGAUUUGGGCACUGUCUCAACGAGAGACUCGGUGAAAUCAUAGUACCUGUGAAGAUGCAGGUUACCCGCGACAGGACGGAAAGACCCCGUGGAGCUUUACUGUAGCCUGAUAUUGAAAUUCGGCACAGCUUGUACAGGAUAGGUAGGAGCCAUUGAAACGUGAGCGCUAGCUUACGUGGAGGCGUUGGUGGGAUACUACCCUAGCUGUGUUGGCUUUCUAACCCGCACCACUUAUCGUGGUGGGAGACAGUGUCAGGCGGGCAGUUUGACUGGGGCGGUCGCCUCCUAAAAGGUAACGGAGGCGCUCAAAGGUUCCCUCAGAAUGGUUGGAAAUCAUUCACAGAGUGUAAAGGCAUAAGGGAGCUUGACUGCGAGACCUACAAGUCGAGCAGGGUCGAAAGACGGACUUAGUGAUCCGGUGGUUCCGCAUGGAAGGGCCAUCGCUCAACGGAUAAAAGCUACCCCGGGGAUAACAGGCUUAUCUCCCCCAAGAGUUCACAUCGACGGGGAGGUUUGGCACCUCGAUGUCGGCUCAUCGCAUCCUGGGGCUGUAGUCGGUCCCAAGGGUUGGGCUGUUCGCCCAUUAAAGCGGUACGCGAGCUGGGUUCAGAACGUCGUGAGACAGUUCGGUCCCUAUCCGUCGUGGGCGUAGGAAAUUUGAGAGGAGCUGUCCUUAGUACGAGAGGACCGGGAUGGACAUACCUCUGGUGUACCAGUUGUCGUGCCAACGGCAUAGCUGGGUAGCUAUGUAUGGACGGGAUAAGUGCUGAAAGCAUCUAAGCAUGAAGCCCCCCUCAAGAUGAGAUUUCCCAACUUCGGUUAUAAGAUCCCUCGAAGAUGACGAGGUUAAUAGGUUCGAGGUGGAAGCGUGGUGACACGUGGAGCUGACGAAUACUAAUCGAUCGAAGACUUAAUCAA
rnacentral:rRNA from 1 species